GAAAUCUUAUCUCUUUCGAAAAAUAAAGGUAACUACCAAUCGGGUGCUCGAAAUAUGUGGAUCCAUUAAACCUGAAAUCCCUUUAUUUGCGCCGUUGUUACUAUGUCGCGGUGAUAAAUAACGAAGAAAAUUAUCCCUUCCAUUUUACCUUUGCCAGUCGCCUUUCCAAUCUCUACACUGUAGCCCUAGCGUCGCCGCUGCCCAAUCUUCGAGCACUAGAGCCUCCCCACCCC
rnacentral:lncRNA from 1 species